AUUGAACGCUGGCGGCAUGCCUUACACAUGCAAGCCGAACGGCAGCAUGAUCUAGCUUGCUAAAUUGAUGGCGAGUGGCGAACGGGUGAGUAAUACAUCGGAACGUGCCCUGUAGUGGGGGAUAACUAGUCGAAAGAUUAGCUAAUACCGCAUACGACCUGAGGGUGAAAGUGGGGGACCGCAAGGCCUCAUGCUAUAGGAGCGGCCGAUGUCUGAUUAGCUAGUUGGUGAGGUAAAGGCUCACCAAGGCGACGAUCAGUAGCUGGUCUGAGAGGACGAUCAGCCACACUGGGACUGAGACACGGCCCAGACUCCUACGGGAGGCAGCAGUGGGGAAUUUUGGACAAUGGGGGCAAUCCUGAUCCAGCAAUGCCGCGUGUGUGAAGAAGGCCUUCGGGUUGUAAAGCACUUUUGUCCGGAAAGAAAUCGCACUUACUAAUAUUAGGUGUGGAUGACGGUACCGGAAGAAUAAGGACCGGCUAACUACGUGCCAGCCGCCGCAGUAAGAC
rnacentral:rRNA from 1 species